GGUUAAGCGACUAAGCGUACACGGUGGAUGCCCUGGCAGUCAGAGGCGAUGAAGGACGUGCUAAUCUGCGAAAAGCGUCGGUAAGGUGAUAUGAACCGUUAUAACCGGCGAUGUCCGAAUGGGGAAACCCAGUGCAAUUCGUUGCACUAUCGUUAACUGAAUACAUAGGUUAACGAGGCGAACCGGGGGAACUGAAACAUCUAAGUACCCCGAGGAAAAGAAAUCAACCGAGAUUCCCCCAGUAGCGGCGAGCGAACGGGGAGCAGCCCAGAGUCUGAAUCAGCUUGUGUGUUAGUGGAACGGUCUGGAAAGUCCGACGGUACAGGGUGAUAGUCCCGUACACCAAAAUGCACAGGCUGUGAACUCGAAGAGUAGGGCGGGACACGUGGUAUCCUGUCUGAAUAUGGGGGGACCAUCCUCCAAGGCUAAAUACUCCUGACUGACCGAUAGUGAACCAGUACCGUGAGGGAAAGGCGAAAAGAACCCCGGCGAGGGGAGUGAAAAAGAACCUGAAACCGUGUACGUACAAGCAGUGGGAGCACCUUCGGGUGUGACUGCGUACCUUUUGUAUAAUGGGUCAGCGACUUAUAUUCUGUAGCAAGGUUAACCGUAUAGGGGAGCCGCAGGGAAACCGAGUCUUAACUGGGCGUUAAGUUGCAGGGUAUAGACCCGAAACCCGGUGAUCUAGCCAUGGGCAGGUUGAAGGUUGGGUAACACUAACUGGAGGACCGAACCGACUAAUGUUGAAAAAUUAGCGGAUGACUUGUGGCUGGGGGUGAAAGGCCAAUCAAACCGGGAGAUAGCUGGUUCUCCCCGAAAGCUAUUUAGGUAGCGCCUCGUGAAUUCAUCUUCGGGGGUAGAGCACUGUUUCGGCUAGGGGGUCAUCCCGACUUACCAACCCGAUGCAAACUACGAAUACCGAAGAAUGUUAUCACGGGAGACACACGGCGGGUGCUAACGUCCGUCGUGAAGAGGGAAACAACCCAGACCGCCAGCUAAGGUCCCAAAGUCAUGGUUAAGUGGGAAACGAUGUGGGAAGGCACAGACAGCCAGGAUGUUGGCUUAGAAGCAGCCAUCAUUUAAAGAAAGCGUAAUAGCUCACUGGUCGAGUCGGCCUGCGCGGAAGAUGUAACGGGGCUAAACCAUGCACCGAAGCUGCGGCAGCGACACUAUGUGUUGUUGGGUAGGGGAGCGUUCUGUAAGCCUGCGAAGGUGACCUGUGAGGGUUGCUGGAGGUAUCAGAAGUGCGAAUGCUGACAUAAGUAACGAUAAAGCGGGUGAAAAGCCCGCUCGCCGGAAGACCAAGGGUUCCUGUCCAACGUUAAUCGGGGCAGGGUGAGUCGACCCCUAAGGCGAGGCCGAAAGGCGUAGUCGAUGGGAAACAGGUUAAUAUUCCUGUACUUGGUGUUACUGCGAAGGGGGGACGGAGAAGGCUAUGUUAGCCGGGCGACGGUUGUCCCGGUUUAAGCAUGUAGGCUGGUUAUCCAGGCAAAUCCGGAUAAUCAAGGCUGAGGUGUGAUGACGAGGCACUACGGUGCUGAAGUAACAAAUGCCCUGCUUCCAGGAAAAGCCUCUAAGCAUCAGGUAACAUCAAAUCGUACCCCAAACCGACACAGGUGGUCAGGUAGAGAAUACCAAGGCGCUUGAGAGAACUCGGGUGAAGGAACUAGGCAAAAUGGUGCCGUAACUUCGGGAGAAGGCACGCUGGUGUGUAGGUGAAGUCCCUGCGGAUGGAGCUGAGACCAGUCGAAGAUACCAGCUGGCUGCAACUGUUUAUUAAAAACACAGCACUGUGCAAACACGAAAGUGGACGUAUACGGUGUGACGCCUGCCCGGUGCCGGAAGGUUAAUUGAUGGGGUUAUCCGUAAGGAGAAGCUCUUGAUCGAAGCCCCGGUAAACGGCGGCCGUAACUAUAACGGUCCUAAGGUAGCGAAAUUCCUUGUCGGGUAAGUUCCGACCUGCACGAAUGGCGUAAUGAUGGCCAGGCUGUCUCCACCCGAGACUCAGUGAAAUUGAACUCGCUGUGAAGAUGCAGUGUACCCGCGGCAAGACGGAAAGACCCCGUGAACCUUUACUAUAGCUUGACACUGAACAUUGAGCCUUGAUGUGUAGGAUAGGUGGGAGGCUUUGAAGCGUGGACGCCAGUCUGCGUGGAGCCAACCUUGAAAUACCACCCUUUAAUGUUUGAUGUUCUAACGUUGGCCCCUUACCGGGGUUGCGGACAGUGUCUGGUGGGUAGUUUGACUGGGGCGGUCUCCUCCCAAAGCGUAACGGAGGAGCACGAAGGUUAGCUAAUCCUGGUCGGACAUCAGGAGGUUAGUGCAAUGGCAUAAGCUAGCUUGACUGCGAGCGUGACGGCGCGAGCAGGUGCGAAAGCAGGUCAUAGUGAUCCGGUGGUUCUGAAUGGAAGGGCCAUCGCUCAACGGAUAAAAGGUACUCCGGGGAUAACAGGCUGAUACCGCCCAAGAGUUCAUAUCGACGGCGGUGUUUGGCACCUCGAUGUCGGCUCAUCACAUCCUGGGGCUGAAGUAGGUCCCAAGGGUAUGGCUGUUCGCCAUUUAAAGUGGUACGCGAGCUGGGUUUAGAACGUCGUGAGACAGUUCGGUCCCUAUCUGCCGUGGGCGCUGGAGAAUUGAGGGGGGCUGCUCCUAGUACGAGAGGACCGGAGUGGACGCAUCACUGGUGUUCGGGUUGUCAUGCCAAUGGCAUUGCCCGGUAGCUAAAUGCGGAAGAGAUAAGUGCUGAAAGCAUCUAAGCACGAAACUUGCCCCGAGAUGAGUUCUCCCUGAGACUUUAAGUCUCCUGAAGGAACGUUGAAGACGACGACGUUGAUAGGCCGGGUGUGUAAGCGCAGCGAUGCGUUGAGCUAACCGGUACUAAUGAACCGUGAGGCUUAACCUU
rnacentral:rRNA from 1 species